CUGUUGUUCAUUCCCCUUGCUCUUUUUUUCACUGCAUUUUUUCCCCUCCCCAAAAUACUACAAAACACUUUUCCCUUCCUAUCACUCAUUUUUUUGCUGCUUCUGUACUUCCUAUAGCUUUCUCCUAUUAGCUUCUAUUAGCUCCCACUAGAUCAUGUCUCAGGGUAUAAUGAUGUAGGGGUUAACAAGAUCUUUGAGGUGGCUUCUUCUAGGGUGCCCUGUCAAGCCUGCAGCCACCGUGCUGGGUCGCCAUCCCAUUCCUACUCCCACUCCAUUUGCUCUUCCUUCCAACAGUUUCUCCCUUAUUCCUUCAGCUUCCUUCUGCCUUGGUUCAGGCUGUCUGGCACCCAACAUGGAGAGGAGCGGACUGGCCACCAGCCCAGAGUCAUCAUUUCUCUGCUUCGCUUCUCUUCCUGUGGCACUGGGGACAUACGGCAAGUGACAGGGCUGAGGAGAAGCAGGGCCCAGAACAAGGAGGCCGGGUCUCCCUUGUAGAGGAUGUAAAUGGCAAUCAGUGACGAGCUGCCAUCCGCAGGGGGAGCUGACCCUGCUUCUCUGUGGGGAAAUUCCCACUGGCCAGG
rnacentral:lncRNA from 1 species